rnacentral:lncRNA from 1 species
AUCUUUUGUAGUGAUUAUAAAGGGGUCAUGCUUUGCAGAACUGAAAUUGCGCGCUGUAUUGAGCCUCGAUCAAGCAUCACCAGAUCGUCAGCAACUUGCUGACAAGCACGAUGGGCCUGGAGUAUCGCCUGCAUCAGCCUACUUUUUCAUGGCAGGAUUUAGAAAGUGAAGGAUGCUCCCUGGCCGAAAAAGGAGACUUUACAGGCGCUAUUCAGUGCUUCAAAAAGGUUGUAGCUGACGAAGAAGGGCAGAGCCACGCCCACAUAUACGAGAUGAUGGCCCAAUGCAUGAUGGAGAAUGGCGAAAACGAGGAAGCUGUGGUUGCAGCCUCGAAUGCUACACAA